GACGUAGGGCGCGAGCGUUGUCCGGAUUUAUUGGGCGUAAAGAGCUCGUAGGCGGCUUGUCGCGUCGUCUGUGAAAUCCCGCGGCUCAACCGCGGGUCUGCAGUCGAUACGGGCAGGCUAGAGUUCGGUAGGGGAGACUGGAAUUCCUGGUGUAGCGGUGAAAUGCGCAGAUAUCAGGAGGAACACCGGUGGCGAAGGCGGAUCUCUGGGCCAUUACUGACGCUGAGGAGCGAAAGCGUGGGGAGCGAACAGG
rnacentral:rRNA from 1 species